rnacentral:rRNA from 1 species
AUUGAACGCUGGCGGCAGGCCUAACACAUGCAAGUCGAACGGUAACAGGAAGCAGCUUGCUGCUUUGCUGACGAGUGGCGGACGGGUGAGUAAUGUCUGGGAAACUGCCUGAUGGAGGGGGAUAACUACUGGAAACGGUAGCUAAUACCGCAUAACGUCGCAAGACCAAAGAGGGGGACCUUCGGGCCUCUUGCCAUCGGAUGUGCCCAGAUGGGAUUAGCUAGUAGGUGGGGUAACGGCUCACCUAGGCGACGAUCCCUAGCUGGUCUGAGAGGAUGACCAGCCACACUGGAACUGAGACACGGUCCAGACUCCUACGGGAGGCAGCAGUGGGGAAUAGUGCACAAUGGGCGCAAGCCUGAUGCAGCCAUGCCGCGUGUAUGAAGAAGGCCUUCGGGUUGUAAAGUACUUUCAGCGGGGAGGAAGGGAGUAAAGUUAAUACCUUUGCUCAUUGACGGUACCCGCAGAAGAAGCACCGGCUAACUCCGUG